rnacentral:rRNA from 1 species
GCUUGAAGUCAGUCGUGUCUGCCGGGACUCAGCCUUGCUUCUGCUUGGUGUAUUUUCUGGUUGGAUGGGCCAACAUCAAUUUUGACCGUUGGAGAAAGGCUUUGGGAAUGUGGCACCUUCGGGUGUGUUAUAGCCCUUUGUCGUAUACGGCGGUUGGGGUUGAGGACUGCAGCACGCCUUUAUGGCCGGGGGUCGCCCCCGUACGGGCUUAGGGUGUUGGCAUAAUGGCUUUAAGCGACCCGUCUUGAAA